UGAUACACAAGUCACCUCGAAACAAAGCAAGCACCCGGAAGUAUUGGACCAUUGCAGAACUGGACAGCCUGCUCAAACAGAAGAAGUUUGACAUGCUCAACAAGGUGAACUCUGCUAUGCUGCUUGCCUGGCUGUGUCACAACAAUGUUCCUUGCAACAUCAAGACCAAGGAAAGCGACACCCUGUUCAAGAUAGCUCAGUACGUUGCUGAGGUUUGACAUUGUAGCUCAGCAUGCUUAUAAAGGGUGGCAGCAGCAAGAUUACUGCAAGAAUCUACUAGCAGCAAGACGACUGCAAAAAUACUCUUCUUUUUCUCUUCUUAUUUUGUUCUUUUAUUUGACAAAAUAAAGCUCAAUGCCGUUGGAUG